rnacentral:rRNA from 1 species
AUGCUAUAUGUACAGGGCCGGCCGGGCUUUAGGGUUAGCAAACCCUAUCCCCUCGGCCGCAAUCCACCCGCCCCGCCGCUAGCCCUCCCCAACUCCGGCGACAAAUCCCGCCGCAUCUCCUCCGUUUUUUCUUCUCCUCCAUGGCCGGUGGUGCUGGCGGGCGUGGUGGCCGUGGUAGGUCGCCUCCGCGCAAGCUCACACUGCAUGACGCGGAGGCUGGCAGCUCUAGCCGGCCCGCCGUCGAACCAUGGCACUCAAAACAAGCGCACGACUACGGCCGGCUCUCCCGGAGCGGCGGGCAGAGCCCUUGGGCCGGCUUCCACGAGCUCCAUGACCAACUCUUCCCGCAUUUGCAGAAGUGUCGGGAGGCCGAUGCGGAGAUCGUCGCCGCGGAGAAAGCUUUGGCGGCCGAAGAAGAAGGUGUCACCGACCGUCUCGCCGCCAAGGAGGAGCACGACCUCCCCAGCGCGCUCCGCAAGUCCGCCGCCAAGCUCUACCUCGGCGUCGACGAGUGACUGUCGAUUUUUUGUAAUUUGUAGCGCGAAGUUUGUAUUUCCUAUGUAUGCACUAUGGUUGUGA